CCUCUCCAUGCCAGUCCCUGUUUUUGCCUUGGAAGAGUUGUUUUUCUUGUUUAAGAGCCACUGCACCAAGGUGAAAUCCGUCCUGCAACCUGUAUCUGUUCGGAGGAGAAAAGCUAAACUGGAGCUUCUUCUGCUCUCAAACAUCUCCACCUUGGAAGCUGGGUCCAGUCCUCCCACCCCUGAUGCUGCUGCCCCCCUCCUUUGAGGAGCUGCAGGAUGGGAAGGCUACGCUCCUCUGUCUGGCCUUGG